CCAUGCAUGUCUAAGUACAUGCCGUAUUAAGGCGAAACCGCGAAUGGCUCAUUAAAUCAGUUAUGGUUCCUUGGAUCGUACCUUACUACUUGGAUAACUGUGGCAAUUCUAGAGCUAAUACAUGCAGCAGAGCUCCGACCUUCGGGAACGAGCGCUUUUAUUAGACCAAAACCAAUCGGACCUCGAGUCCGUUUACUGUGGUGACUCUGUAUAACUUUGGGCUGAUCGCACGGGCCCGUCCCGGCGACGUAUCUUUCAAGUGUCUGCCUUAUCAACUUUCGAUGGUAGGUUACGCGCCUACCAUGGUCGUAACGGGUGACGGGGAAUCAGGGUUCGAUUCCGGAGAGGGAGCCUGAGAAACGGCUACCACAUCCAAGGAAGGCAGCAGGCGCGCAAAUUACCCACUCCCGGAACGGGGAGGUAGUGACGAAAAAUAACAAUACGGGACUCUUUUGAGACCCCGUAAUUGGAAUGAGUACACUCUAAAUCCUUUAACGAAGUCCAUUGGAGGGCAAGUCUGGUGCCAGCCGCUGCGGUAAUUCCAGCUCCAAUAGCGUAUAUUAAAGUUGUUGCGGUUAAAAAGCUCGUAGUUGGAUCUCAGUUCCAGACGGGUGGUCCGCCUACCGGUGGUUACUGCCUGRUCUGAACAGCCAGCCGGUUUCUCUUGAUGAUCUUCACCGGUUGUCUUGGGUGACCGGCAAGUUUACUUUGAAUAAAUUAGAGUGCUCAAAGCAGGCGUGACGCCUGAAUAAUGGUGCAUGGAAUAAUGGAAUAGGACCUCGGUUCUAUUUUGUUGGUUUUCGGAACACGAGGUAAUGAUUAAGAGGGACAGACGGGGGCAUUCGUAUUGCGACGCUAGAGGUGAAAUUCUUGGACCAAGAAUGUUUCCAUUAAUCAAGAACGAAAGUUAGAGGUUCGAAGGCGAUCAGAUACCGCUCUAGUUCUAACCAUAAACGAUGCCAGCCAGCGAUCCGGCUGUGUUCCUCAAAUGACACGCCGGGCAGCUUCCGGGAAACCAAAGCUUUUGGGUUCCGGGGGAAGUAUGGUUGCAAAGCUGAAACUUAAAGGAAUUGACGGAAGGGCACCACCAGGAAUGGGGCCUGCGGCUUAAUUUGACUCAACACGGGACAACCCACCAGGUCUGGACACAGGAAGGAUUGACAGAUUGAGAGCUCUUUCUUGAUUCUGUGAGGGGUGGUGCAUGGCCGUUCUUAGUUGGUGGAGUGAUUUGUCUGGUUGAUUCCGAUAACGAGCGAGACACUAGCCUGCUAAAUAGACGCUGAGAUCAUCUAUGUCUCACGAUCUUCUUAGAGGGACAAACGGCGUUUAGCCGCACGAGACAGUGCAAUAACAGGUCUGAGAUGCCCUUAGUUGUCCUGGGCCGCACGCGCGCCACAUUGAAGGAAUCAGCGUGUGCUUUCCCUGUCCGACAGGAUUGGGUAACCCGUUGAAACUCCUUCGUGCUGGGGAUAGGGGCUUGUAAUUGUUCCCCUUGAACGAGGAAUUCCCAGUAAGCAUGAAUCACUAGUUCGUGCUGAUCGAGUCCCUGGCCUUUGUGCACACCGCCCGUCGCUAUUUCCGAUUGAAUUAUUUAGUGAGGUCUUCGGACUGGCGCUCGGAGCGGCCUUUGCGGGUCAUUUCGGCGUGCCGGAAAGAUGACCGAACUUGAUUAUUUAGAGGAAAUAAAAGUCGUAACAAGGUUUCC
rnacentral:rRNA from 1 species